rnacentral:rRNA from 1 species
ACGUACGUACGAGUUAGGAAUUCGAUCGUCGUCAGGACGAACGCUGGCGGCGUGCUUCAUACAUGCAAGUCGAACGAGAAGCAAGAGCUUGCUCUUGUGGAAAGUGGCGGACGGGUGAGUAACACGUAGGAAACCUGCCUUUUUAGUGGGGGACAACAGAGGGAAACUUCUGCUAAUACCCCAUAUGAGCGUAGCUGAAAUGCUAUUCUUGAAAACUCCGGUGCUAAAAGAUGGGCCUGCGCCUGAUUAGCUUGUUGGCGGUGUAAUGGACCACCAAGGCGACGAUCAGUAGCUGGUUUGAGAGGAUGAUCAGCCACAAUGGGACUGAGACACGGCCCAUACUCCUACGGGAGGCAGCAGUAGGGAAUUUUGCGCAAUGGGCGAAAAAGCCUGACGCAGCAACGCCGCGUGAACGUAGAAGCCCUUCGGGGUGUAAAGUUCUGUCAGGGGGGACGAAUUUUGACGGUACCCUCAGAGGAAGCACCGGCUAACUCCGUGCCAGCCGCAGC